rnacentral:lncRNA from 1 species
UAUAAUGAGGUGGACCCGAGUAUGACGGUGGUGAUGGAGUUGGUGAGGGGGAACUUUUCGGGGGAGAUUUAUAGACGUAAGGUGAUGGUGAAGGUGAGGGAGAUGGUUGUUCUUUGGAUGGAGAUGGGGGAGAUUUGUAGACGUAAGGCGAUGGAGGAGAUUCAGUUGGGGGUGUUGAUGGUGAACUUGAUGGAGGGGGUUUGUAGGUGAAGGGCGAUGGAGGAGUUUCGGGGGAAGAUGAUGUUGGAGGAGGUGUUAGGCAUGCAUUGAUCGGAGGUGAUGGUGGAGGAGGAGGUGUUAGGCAUGCAUUGAUCGGAGGUGAUGGUGAUGGUGAAGUUGAUGGCGGAGACUUAUAGACGUAAGGAGAUGGAGGAGAUUCUUUUGGUGCCGGAGAUGGAGAUGGUGGAGAUUUAUAUACAAAAGGUGAUGGAGGAGAUUCUUUUGGUUUUGGAGAUGGAGAGGGGGAGGAUGAUGGUGGAGAUUUGUAGACAAAAGGAGAUGGAGGGGAUUCUUUAGGAGUUGAAGGAGAAGAGGGUGGUGGUGGGGGACAAGUGUUGAUAUAGUGAGGUGGAGCUUCAUGUGAAGGUGUUGAUGGACUUGGUGAUGGAGAGGAUGAUGGUGGAGAUUUGUAGACAAAAGGGGCAGGACCAGAUUCAGUUGGUGGAGGUGGUGAGACAUACACGUAUUUUUUAGGUGGUGGAGGUGGUGAGACAUACACGUAAGGAGCUUUUUUAGGUGGUGGUGGUGUAGAUGCAACCAGGGGUGCUGGUGGAAUUUCCUUAACUGGUGGAGGUGGGGAGAGAAAGAGGUGAGGUGGAGGCGGGGAAGGUGAAGGUGGAGGCGGGGAAGGUGGUGGUGAAGGCGGGGGAGGUGAGGGUGGAGGUGGCGAAGGUGGUGGUGAAGGCGGGGGAGGUGAGGGUGGAGGAGGCGAAGGUGGUGGUGAAGGCGGGGGAGGUGAGGGCGGAGGAGGUGAAGGUGGUGGAGAAGGCGGUGGAGGUGAAGGUGGAGGAGGCGAAUGUGGUGGUGACGGUGGUGGAGGUGAAGGAGGGGGCGGCGAAUGCACUGGCGGUGGUGGAGAGGGAGUCGAUGGUGGUGGCGGAGAGGUAUAAGUAUACGGCGGAGGGGAGGCCGGUGGUGGUGGAGAAACAUAACUAUAAGCUGGCCUCCCUUCCACCGCAAAACUACUCAAG